UAAUGAUAUACCUUUGAAAAUAAAGAAAAAAUCAUCCUCAAACUAUAUCAGAAUCGGGCAUUGUGAGGAAUGUUAUCACAGCAUGCCAAGCUGUGAAAGAAAUCCAAUAUUAUACCUGUGAAUACUGACGAGGAUGAAACAACAUCACAUGUUAAUCCCUGAUUGAGUGAUACUACAUCCUAAGGAAAUUGCCCAACCCCUCAAGAUACUUCCAAGUGUGGUUGUAUUUGAGUCUUCAAAAUGUCAUUUCACUAUUCUCUCAGGACAACUGCUUCAGGAUGAUAGGGAACAUGCUACUUGGCCAUGCAGAGAAGCUUGGAAUGAUCACAGAAGCUGACAGGGCCGCUGAUACUGUGGAAGGCUGGCUGCAAAAAAGUAAUGUCUGCUAAAAACAGGUCCUUCCAGUAUAAUCAGAGAAAAACUGCAGCACCCCAGAGAUAAGCGAAAUCAUACACCAGCAAAAGACUUUAGAUUAAUGAAGAAAGAGAGCUGAGGUAUUACAAAAGCUUCUUGGCUACCUCCUCUUGCCUCAGACAUAUGCCUGCCGACAGGUACUGAGUAUAUGACAUCUCGAGGACUUUAGAGAAUAAGUAGUAUUUUAAUUUGUUGAGCAAUAACUAAAUGCCAAACAUCUGGCAUAGAGUGUCUAAAAAUCCUUUCAAUGGUUUUGCAAAGUAGGUAUAGUCAUCUCUACUCUAUGAGUGGUACAGCUGUAGAUUAACAAAGUUAAGCAAUUUUUCCAAGAUCACACAUCUCAUAACCUAGAUGUCCCUAACUAUAAAACCCACAUGUUUUUCAUGACACCAGGCUCCUUCAUGAAGUUGUCCUAAGCUGUGAAGAUGAUUUUACAUUUUUUUCCACAUUAUGGGAUGGCCUUGGGAUACAAAUGCUUUCUAAAGAAAAUUCUUCAGCAGAAGGUAUAAAGUUGGGUCUAAUAACACAUGGUUGUCCAGCCACAUAUCAUAUUUGUAUAACAGAACUUGUCAGAAACAUGUCGAAGAUAAUGUUUACAUUAAAAUUAAAAUAUGACAAACAUUGAUUUGGAAACUCAGGCCUGCUUAUAAACUAUC